AACGAACGCUGGCGGCAGGCUUAACACAUGCAAGUCGAACGCCCCGCCAGGGGAGUGGCAGACGGGUGAGUAACGCGUGGGAACAUACCCUUUCCUGCGGAAUAGCUCCGGGAAACUGGAAUUAAUACCGCAUACGCCCUACGGGGGAAAGAUUUAUCGGGGAAGGAUUGGCCCGCGUUGGAUUAGCUAGUUGGUGGGGUAAAGGCCUACCAAGGCGACGAUCCAUAGCUGGUCUGAGAGGAUGAUCAGCCACAUUGGGACUGAGACACGGCCCAAACUCCUACGGGAGGCAGCAGUGAGGAAUAUUGGACAAUGGGCGCAAGCCUGAUCCAGCCAUGCCGCGUGAGUGAUGAAGGCCUUAGGGUUGUAAAGCUCUUUCACCGAUGAAGAUAAUGACGGUAGUCGGAGAAGAAGCCCCGGCUAACUUCGUG
rnacentral:rRNA from 1 species